UGCUAUUCAAGAACAAGAAUAUCGUACGUAUCAAAUUUGUAAUAGUAUUUCAUUUGUAGUACGACAAACUUUUUGAACGUACUGAUUGAUUGAUUGUAAAAUAGAAGAAGUUCUUCUCGAAAAUUCACUACAUUCAUAUUCUUACAAUCAAUCCGUUGUAAUACAAGAAAUAGAAUAUUAAGUAAAUGCUGCACUCCAAUUUAUGUUUUGAGUUUUUCAACAAAAGUCGAAGCUCCACAAAUCGUGGAGUCAAUAGGAGUCAUUUUGUCUUUUUUAAUCGACUGAAUGAUUCCUAUGUCGAUUUGUAUCUCUUGAUGGAAAGUUGCUCCUGUCAUGAAUCAUUCAAUUAAUAAUAAAGAAAUCUACCGACUGACUGAAGAUAUUUUUUGUACUGAUGACUCAACGUUACUUUAGCGUCAAAAGCCAGUAUUCAUAGCAGUUUUUAUGUUUAAAAUCGUUCGAUCUUAAGAACAAAAUAUGAGAACUGUCUAUGACUACGGUCUACUUAGCGCUACAAAAAGUUCGAAACGUUUGAUUAACCAAUCAAAACGAAGAAUUUUAUGAAUUGACCAAUCAAAAAAUGCUUCGAAGCAUUUGUAGCAUCAAGUGGACUGCACCCUAUGAAUACAGGUCAAAGGCUGCAUAGAAUAUAUGACACGAACUAUAUAUUUUCAGUACAUAUCAUUGACAGUGAAUAUCGAAAUACAGCCAAAUAGAUCACGUGAGCAAACGUGACUAUUCAAAUUUUAUUAUCUCACGUGACUUCUUUUGAAAUAAUGAGCAUCUGAAUUGAUAUUUUAUGUUUAUUUCUAUUAAUAUAGAUUAAUUUUAAUCUUUAAUCUACUCUAUCUGUUUCAAUUCUUAAAGUUAAAAAAUGAUAAAAAAUGAUAAGAGGAACCCAUAGAAAAUCUUUAUCAGAAAGGGCAAUAGGCCACGAAAUAUAUAAUCACAUUGUCGAUAUGAUGAGAUUGCGUCUUGUUGACGAAGGAAAACUGCUUUCAGAAGAAAAUAUUAAUGACAAUUUUAUUGAUCAUGUAUCGUGUUUAUGAUCAACAAUCUAUCAACAGAAGAAUCAUUACCAUCAUCACUCUCAAAAAAGUGAUCUGGAUCAAAUCCCCUGAAAAAAAUCAAAUCAAUAAAUCUAGAAUAUAAAGGAAAAGUUGUAACUAUGGCGAAAAAAUACUUCAAUGUCCCAUUUGUCUUAACGUUUUGUAAUCCAGUAAAGUUUAAUUCAAUAAAAUUCUUUCAUCAUUUUCAAAUAAA